rnacentral:rRNA from 1 species
AGAUUGAACGCUGGCGGAAUGCUUUACACAUGCAAGUCGAACGGCAGCACGGGACUCAGGCAACUGAGCCCUGGUGGCGAGUGGCGAACGGGUGAGUAACAUAUCGGAACGUACCCAGUCGUGGGGGAUAACUCUCCGAAAGGAGAGCUAAUACCGCAUACGUCCUGAGGAGAAAGCGGGGGACCUGCAAGGGCCUCGCGCGAUUGGAGCGGCCGAUAUCGGAUUAGCUAGUUGGUGGGUAAAGGCUCACCAAGGCGACGAUCCGUAGCGGGUCUGAGAGGACGACCCGCCACACUGGAACUGAGACACGGUCCAGACUCCUACGGAGCAGCAGUGGGAAUUUGGACAAGUGGGGCAACCUGACUCCAGCCAUCCGCGUGAGUGAAGAGCCGUUGGUGUAAGUCUACUUCGGCAGAACGAACGGUCGUACUUAAGUAAGUCG